rnacentral:rRNA from 1 species
GCUGGCGGCGUGCUUAACACAUGCAAGUCGAACGCGCAGCAUUCUGUAGCAAUACAGGGUGUGGGCGCGUGGCGAACGGGUGCGUAACACGUGGAUAACCUUCCUUGAGGUGGGGAAUAACCCAGUGAAAAUUGGGCUAAUACCGCAUAACAUCGCGACGGCACAUGCUGCUGCGAUCAAAGGCGCAAGUCGCCACAAGAGGGAUCCGCGGCCGAUUAGCUUGUUGGCGAGGUAAUGGCUCACCAAGGCAAUGAUCGGUAGCCGGACUGAGAGGUUGGCCGGCCACACUGGAACUGAGACACGGUCCAGACUCCUACGGGAGGCAGCAGUGGGGAAUCUUGCACAAUGGACGAAAGUCUGAUGCAGCAACGCCGCGUGGGGGAUGAAGCUUCUCGGAGUGUAAACCCCUUUCGACCCGGAAGAAUGCCCGCAAGGGUAUGACGGUACGGGUAUAAGAAGCCCCGGCUAACUACGUGCCAGCAGCCGCGGUAAUACGUAGGGGGCCAGCGU